CCUACGGGGCGCAGCAGUGAGGAAUAUUGGUCAAUGGGCGCGAGCCUGAACCAGCCAAGUCGCGUGAGGGAGGAAGGCCCUACGGGUUGUAAACUUCUUUUGCCGGGGAGCAACGGGCGUCACGUGUGGCGCCACUGAGAGUACCCGGAGAAAAAGCCUCCGCGAACUCCGUGCCAGCAGCCGCGGUAAUACGGAGGAUGCGAGCGUUAUCCGGAUUUAUGGGGUUAAAAGGGUGCGUCGGCGGAGCGUUACGUCAGUGGUAAAAUUGGGGGGCUCAACCCCUUCCCGCCAUUGAAACUGGCGCUCUUGAGUGGAAGAGAAGUAUGCGGAAUGCGUGGUGUAGCGGUGAAAUGCAUAGAUAUCACGCAGAACCCCGAUUGCGAAGGCAGCAUGCCGGCUUCCGACUGACGCUGAAGCACGAAAGCGUGGGGAUCGAACAGGAUUAGAUACCCCGGUAGUC
rnacentral:rRNA from 1 species